rnacentral:rRNA from 1 species
UCCGUAGGUUGAACCUGCGGAAGGAUCAUUG